UACGGAGGGUGCGAGCGUUGUCCGGAAUCACUGGGCGUAAAGGGCGCGUAGGCGGCCGGAGAAGUCGGUGGUGAAAGCUCGGGGCUCAACUCCGAGUCGGCCACCGAUACUGUUCGGCUCGAGUUUGGUAGAGGCAGAUGGAAUUCCGGGUGUAGCGGUGGAAUGCGUAGAGAUCCGGAAGAACACCGGUGGCGAAGGCGGUCUGCUGGGCCAAGACUGACGCUGAGGCGCGACAGCGUGGGGGAGCAAACAGG
rnacentral:rRNA from 1 species